AAGCGGAGCGGAUGCUGCCCCCGUCUCCCCGGGCCUGGCUCCCCGCUCUCCUCCAGCUGGGCUCCCAGAGCGCCUUCCUUUCCUCUCCGAAGUCAGCCCCCUGCUAGGGAGGGACGCUGGGGCGGAUCCCCGCUAGGGCUAACCACAGGCUUCCCUGACCUCAAGUCCAAUUGCUGACAAUUUUCUUUGCUAAAUUGCCCACUGUCAAGCAUCCCGGUCUGGCACCUACAUACACAUCGGAGCCUUCCCAGAUGGCAGGGACCUCAGAGAGCCUCUCGCUCCACUGACUCAUCUUCCUGGAGCAGGAAACAAUACAGGAGUCUCCCUAUUCCAGUUCUUCCGGGAUUGACGACUGCGCUUUCUCGGGCCCAUGGGAACAUACCCAUUUCUCAGAUGAAGGGGCUGAGACUUCCUGAGGACUCGGAGCUGCUGGGGAGGGGGAGCGAGGAAUUUUCUGGAGGCCCUGCCUGGGAAAGUGCCCUCAGCAGACAAUGGCAGAGUGAGUGUUAAUUCUCCGGUGCCAUGGUCCCAGAGGGCUCCCUGGAAGAGGGCUUUUUCCUCUGCGGACACUCUCCAAGCCCCGUGAAAGUGGGAUUACUGAGUCUGAAACCCUGGAAGCCCAGAGAAUCCCUCCAUCCUGAAGCUCCUUAAGCCACGGAGCCAUCCGGGCGACAGAGUCCAUGCUGCUCUAACUACUGCCCCGCACGGCCCCUCCAGAACGCUGGCUCGCAGGGAGGGGCCCCGGCAGAGCCUGUGCUUGCAUCGCCCUGGUAGGCUUAGUUCGGCUCCGGGGCCCAGUUUGGGCAGAUUGAGGAGG
rnacentral:lncRNA from 1 species